GUCGUGAGGCAUGCUGGAGGUAUCAGAAGUGCGAAUGCUGACAUAAGUAACGAUAAAGCGGGUGAAAAGCCCGCUCGCCGGAAGACCAAGGGUUCCUGUCCAACGUUAAUCGGGGCAGGGUGAGUCGACCCCUAAGGCGAGGCCGAAAGGCGUAGUCGAUGGGAAACGGGUUAAUAUUCCCGUACUUGGUGUUACUGCGAAGGGGGGACGGAGAAGGCUAUGUUGGCCGGGCGACGGUUGUCCCGGUUUAAGCGUGUAGGCUGGUUUUCCAGGCAAAUCCGGAAAAUCAAGGCUGAGGCGUGAUGACGAGGCACUACGGUGCUGAAGCAACAAAUGCCCUGCUUCCAGGAAAAGCCUCUAAGCAUCAGGUAACAUCAAAUCGUACCCCAAACCGACACAGGUGGUCAGGUAGAGAAUACCAAGGCGCUUGAGAGAACUCGGGUGAAGGAACUAGGCAAAAUGGUGCCGUAACUUCGGGAGAAGGCACGCUGACAUGUAGGUGAAGUGAUUUACUCAUGGAGCUGAAGUCAGUCGAAGAUACCAGCUGGCUGCAACUGUUUAUUAAAAACACAGCACUGUGCAAACACGAAAGUGGACGUAUACGGUGUGACGCCUGCCCGGUGCCGGAAGGUUAAUUGAUGGGGUCAGCGCAAGCGAAGCUCCUGAUCGAAGCCCCGGUAAACGGCGGCCGUAACUAUAACGGUCCUAAGGUAGCGAAAUUCCUUGUCGGGUAAGUUCCGACCUGCACGAAUGGCGUAAUGAUGGCCAGGCUGUCUCCACCCGAGACUCAGUGAAAUUGAACUCGCUGUGAAGAUGCAGUGUACCCGCGGCAAGACGGAAAGACCCCGUGAACCUUUACUAUAGCUUGACACUGAACAUUGAGCCUUGAUGUGUAGGAUAGGUGGGAGGCUUUGAAGCGUGGACGCCAGUCUGCGUGGAGCCGGCCUUGAAAUACCACCCUUUAAUGUUUGAUGUUCUAACGUGGACCCGUGAUCCGGGUUGCGGACAGUGUCUGGUGGGUAGUUUGACUGGGGCGGUCUCCUCCUAAAGAGUAACGGAGGAGCACGAAGGUUGGCUAAUCCUGGUCGGACAUCAGGAGGUUAGUGCAAUGGCAUAAGCCAGCUUGACUGCGAGCGUGACGGCGCGAGCAGGUGCGAAAGCAGGUCAUAGUGAUCCGGUGGUUCUGAAUGGAAGGGCCAUCGCUCAACGGAUAAAAGGUACUCCGGGGAUAACAGGCUGAUACCGCCCAAGAGUUCAUAUCGACGGCGGUGUUUGGCACCUCGAUGUCGGCUCAUCACAUCCUGGGGCUGAAGUAGGUCCCAAGGGUAUGGCUGUUCGCCAUUUAAAGUGGUACGCGAGCUGGGUUUAGAACGUCGUGAGACAGUUCGGUCCCUAUCUGCCGUGGGCGCUGGAGAACUGAGGGGGGCUGCUCCUAGUACGAGAGGACCGGAGUGGACGCAUCACUGGUGUUCGGGUUGUCAUGCCAAUGGCACUGCCCGGUAGCUAAAUGCGGAAGAGAUAAGUGCUGAAAGCAUCUAAGCACGAAACUUGCCCCGA
rnacentral:rRNA from 1 species